AAAACUGAUCUUGUUGAUAAAAGGUAAGAAUUAAACUGAUGAAAAUAAGAUGCUGAAUCAUGAUUUUAAAGAAUGGCAUUUGUGUGUGACAACGAAACCCAAGUACCUGUGAUAGCAAUUCUACUUUCCUCUGCUUCAUGAGUUUCCUUCUGUUUUAUAUAUAUAAACUCUUAUUUAGGAGUGAGAGAUGAAUGGCUAGGUAUCCUCAAAAUAUCACUAGGACACUAACAUGCUUUCUGAUAUUGUAGGACACUAACAUGCUUUCUGAUAUUG
rnacentral:misc_RNA from 1 species